AAAAACCCCAUGUAAAAAUAGGGUUCAAGUUGAAAAAUCCCAGAGUGUGUAGAGUAAUGUGCUUCUCUUAUGAGUCGGCUACAAAAUAAGAAAUGCACAGUUGGAAAAGGUCUUAGUUAAAGCACAUAGCAGCAGGAAAAAACACACACCUGCCAAAUCACAUGUCCAGUCAUUAGUGAGGUGCACAAGCUCAUACGUAAAUGUGUUUAUAGUGGCCUCAUGUCUGUGUAUUAACCUGCAUAUUAAACAGCAUUGCAGAUGUGCAGCACUUUUCUCUGUGCCAACACACUGAAAAUAAAACUACCGCAACACAUUUCCACCGGCAGGCAGCUCCUCCUCAGGCCCCUGCAGCUCUACUGCAACGUUCCCAUAAUUAUUAAAUGCAAAUAUUAACGCAAAUCCGUGACUGAGAGGUCUGUGUGUUAAAUUCUUCUCAUCUUUCGGGCGAUACACUAGGUGAUCGUGAAAGAAAAAAGUAAAGUGCGUUGCAAUAAGCAGUCUGUUGCUACAUGUGGCAGAAACAUCAGAACAGUGUUGUGGACAAUGUGACAGGGUGACCUCAUAUUUGUGCUCAUGUGCUGCAUGCAUUUGUGAUGAUUAGCAGCAGUGAUGCUGCACUGGGCUGUGAAUACAAACGACAGGAACACAAGUGGCCUCAAAACACAAAAGGAACAAAUCUAUACAAAAUAUUGGCACAUUAUCCUAGAAACAAUAUCCUGGAUGACUUCAAGUUGUCUGCACGCCGAUGCUUCAUCAACCGUUUGGUUGUUGAAGCAUCCAUCGAUUUGUCUCCUCUUC